GACGAACGCUGGCGGCGUGCUUAACACAUGCAAGUCGAACGGUAAGGCUCCAGCUUGCUGGGGUACACGAGUGGCGAACGGGUGAGUAACACGUGGGUGACCUGCCCUGCACUUCGGGAUAAGCCUGGGAAACUGGGUCUAAUACCGGAUAGGACCGCACCGUGAGGGUGUGGUGGAAAGUUUUUUCGGUGUGGGAUUGGCCCGCGGCCUAUCAGCUUGUUGGUGGGGUAAUGGCCUACCAAGGCGGCGACGGGUAGCCGGCCUGAGAGGGUGGACGGCCACAUUGGGACUGAGACACGGCCCAGACUCCUACGGGAGGCAGCAGUGGGGAAUAUUGCACAAUGGGCGGAAGCCUGAUGCAGCGACGCCGCGUGGGGGAUGACGGCCUUCGGGUUGUAAACUCCUUUCACCAUCGACGAAGGGUUUCUGACGGUAGAUGGAGAAGAAGCACCGGCUAACUACGUG
rnacentral:rRNA from 1 species